rnacentral:rRNA from 1 species
CCUACGGGAGGCAGCAGUGGGGAAUAUUGCACAAUGGGGGAAACCCUGAUGCAGCGACGCCGCGUGAGUGAAGAAGGAUUUCGGUAUGUAAAGCUCUAUUAGCAGGGAAGAAAAUGACGGUACCUGAGUAAGAAGCCCCGGCUAACUACGUGCCAGCAGCCGCGGUAAUACGUAGGGGGCAAGCGUUAUCCGGAUUUACUGGGUGUAAAGGGAGCGUAGACGGCAGGGCAAGUCUGGAGUGAAAGGCGGGGGCUCAACCCCCGGACUGCACUUGAAACUGUACGGCUGGAGUGCAGGAGAGGUAAGUGGAAUUCCUAGUGUAGCGGUGAAAUGCGUAGAUAUUAGGAGGAACACCAGUGGCGAAGGCGGCUUACUGGACUGUAACUGACGUUGAGGCUCGAAAGCGUGGGGAGCAAACAGGAUUAGAUACCCCAGUAGUC